rnacentral:rRNA from 1 species
AACGUAGGAGACGAACGUUAUCCGGAGUUACUGGGCGUAAAGGGCGUGCAGGCGGCUUGAUAAGUUCGGCGUGAAAUUUCCCGGCUUAACCGGGGGAUGUCGUCGGAGACUGUCGAGCUAGAGGGUGAUAGAGGCGUGUGGAAUUCCGGGUGUAGUGGUGAAAUGCGUAGAGAUCCGGAGGAACACCAGUGGCGAAGGCGGCAUCCUGGACCAACACUGACACUGAGGAGCGAAAGCCAGGGGAGCAAACGGG